rnacentral:rRNA from 1 species
UAGGGAAUCUUCGGCAAUGGACGAAAGUCUGACCGAGCAACGCCGCGUGAGUGAAGAAGGUUUUCGGAUCGUAAAACUCUGUUGUUAGAGAAGAACAAGGACGUUAGUAACUGAACGUCCCCUGACGGUAUCUAACCAGAAAGCCACGGCUAACUACGUGCCAGCAGCCGCGGUAAUACGUAGGUGGCAAGCGUUGUCCGGAGUUAGUGGGCGUAAAGCGAGCGCAGGCGGUUACUUAAGUCUGAUGUGAAAGCCCCCGGCUCAACCGGGGAGGGUCAUUGGAAACUGGGAGACUUGAGUGCGGAAGAGGAGAGUGGAAUUCCAUGUGUAGCGGUGAAAUGCGUAGAUAUAUGGAGGAACACCAGUGGAGAAGGCGGCUCUCUGGUCUGUAACUGACGCUGAGGCUCGAAAGCGUGGGGAGCAAACAGG